UGUUCUAUAGGCUCGUACAACCGUAUCCUUGAUUGCAAAGGAGACGAGCAACUCAGUCUGUCAGACAACCUCAGGG